rnacentral:rRNA from 1 species
AACGAACGCUGGCGGCGCGCCUAAUACAUGCAAGUCGAGCGAGAAGACGUAGCAAUACGUUUGUAAAGCGGCGAACGGGUGAGGAAUGCAUGGGUAACCUACCCUCGAGUGGGGAAUAACUAGCCGAAAGGUUAGCUAAUACCGCGUACGCUCCUUGGACUUCGGUUCAGGGAGGAAAGCGAUACCGUGGGUACCGCGCUCUUGGAUGGGCUCAUGUCCUAUCAGCUUGUUGGUGAGGUAACGGCUCACCAAGGCUUCGACGGGUAGCUGGUCUGAGAGGACGAUCAGCCACACUGGCACUGCGACACGGGCCAGACUCCUACGGGAGGCAGCAGUAAGGAAUAUUGCGCAAUGGGCGAAAGCCUGACGCAGCGACGCCGCGUGGGGGA